AGGGGGCUGCUGCACGCACUCGGUGGGUGACGCCAUCGCCGCGCGCCGGCCCCUCCUCCCGUCUCGGCCACUGCCGCCGCCAUGGAGUCCAACAGGGACGAGGCGGAGCGCUGUAUUGCCAUCGCCGUGGCCGCCAUCAAGGCCAGCCAGCCCGACAAGGCGCUCCGCUUCCUGGAGAAGGCCCAGCGCCUCUACCCCUCCCAGCGAGUCCGCGUGCUGAUCGAAUCCCUCACCAAGAAUGAACAAUCAGCCAAUGGCCAGUCCAAAUCCAGAGAGUCCACAAAUGCCCACUUUAGGAAAAUGAGUGGAGACUUCCCAUCAGCCAAUGGGGAGGCUGGUGGGGAAACUAACAAAGGUUACACCCAAGAUCAGGUGGAUGCAGUUAAGAGGGUAAAGCAAUGUAAAGAUUACUAUGAAAUUCUAGGAGUGAACAGAGAGGCCUCUGACGAGGACCUGAAAAAGGCUUACCGGAAACUAGCACUGAAAUUUCACCCAGAUAAGAACCAGGCGCCAGGUGCUACAGAAGCAUUCAAAGCCAUUGGUAAUGCAUAUGCAGUAUUGAGCAACCCAGAGAAGCGGAAGCAAUAUGACCAGUUUGGAGAUGAGAAAGUCAACCCUUCAAGACAUGGACACAGUCAUACAGACUUCCACCGUGGAUUCGAAGCAGACAUCUCACCCGAGGAUCUCUUCAACAUGUUCUUUGGUGGUGGAUUUCCUUCUAGUAAUGUUCACGUAUACAGCAAUGGCAGGAUGCGAUAUACCUACCAUCAGAGGCAUGACAGACGAGAACAUCAGGGUGAUGGUGGCCUUGGGUUGUUUGUCCAGCUGAUGCCUAUUCUCAUCCUGAUCAUUGUUUCAGCUCUCAGCCAGAUGAUGGUCUCCAGUCCACCUUACAGUUUGAGCCACAGGCCGUCUGUGGGUCACAUACACAGGAGAGUGACGGAGCACUUGAAAGUAGCUUACUAUGUAGCUGAGAACUUUGUAGAAGAGUACACUGGUACAAACCUGAAAAAUGUUGAGAGGAGCGUGGAAGACGAUUACAUUGCAAACCUCAGAAAUAACUGCUGGAAGGAAAAGCAACAAAAGGAAGGCUUGCUUUAUCGAGCACGUUACUUUGGAGAUUCAGAUCUGUAUCAAAGAGCACAGAGGAUGGGCACCCCAAGCUGUAGCAGACUGUCUGAAGUUCAAGCCUCUAUGCAUGGAUAGUCACUACUAGACCACUCAGCGGAGGUCUAAACUCUUGAAAUGCCUGAAGACUUUUGGCGAAGUGCACUGAGCCAAGGGUCUGCUGUGUUGUGUGCUGACAGAAGUAAUGAGUGGAGAAACAAGUCAGAGAUGAGGCCAGUUACCGUUUCUGACAUCUCACCUGUGAGACUGAGGAAUGCCCCCUAACGAUGAAUUAUGCUGAGUUGAUGCAAGAUGUUUUUUUCUGCUGACCACAACUGCUGCCUUCCAAGGUUGGCAAAGUCCAACCGGCAGUAGCAAUGGAGAUUAAACAUUCUGCAGGCACAGACAGCAUGAGCUGGAGAGCUUUCUAGUAUUGUGUGUGGAAAGCUACUGUAUACUAAAAAUUAGAAUUUGAAUGAUCCGGUCUGUCUAGUUUGUGGGGAAUUAUACUGUGAAUUUGAAUAUGCCAGUUUUCCAUACAAAGUCCAGUUCUGCCAUUAGCAAUUUCAUCCUCCCUCAAUGGUUUUCUGUUUAUGAUAAAUGUGGUUUUAAAAAACAAAAAAAACCCACCAUGUAGAUUCCCCAAAAGGAGCCAGGAAUUUGUGAAUAUUAAAUCAAGCUCUAAUAUUUAAAGAUCAGGACUGAGAUUUUUCAAAGCUGACUCUGGGAUUUAGAUACAACUACCAUUAACUUCAAUGGGAAUUAGCUGUUCAGAUUCCAUAGUUGGCUUUGAAAAUCUCAACCCAGAGCUCCUAUAAGUAGCAGAGGGAAAUGUAUGACCUUUGGUAGAGAAGGGACCAUUGUAGUUCUGGGUUAUAACUUGUUUCAACGCUUCUGAGCCACCCAUUACAGUAUCUUGCUGCUGAAUGACUAGUUAGUUUGCAGGAGAAGAAACUCCCUCGGUAAGGUACUGCUCUUUUGCCUUGGGCUACAGCAUUUUACUAGUGCUAUUAUAUUCAAUAACAGUGAGCACUUUAAAGAACAAAUAUUUAAUUCUCAGCAGUUCAGCAUUCAUGAACAACCUGACAAUAACAAAUCAGUACCACUGUAUGAUAGAGGAAAACUAAUUCAUUAAGGAAAGAGUAGUCAUUAGUUUCACAAUUUCAAGGGGCAGUUCUAAUACCUUGCCCUGACCUCUUGCAACAGAAUGACACCUCUGAUGUUGUUUGUUUCAAACAUUACAGCUAGGCCCAAGGAAUCAAAAUCCAUCCUAGCAUAACUCCAUUAACUUCACCGGAGUUACACCGGGAACAAUUUGAUCCAUGGUUAAGCAAUAAGCUGAAUGUGGUUAUAUGGAACUGUAGUGCUGGACACUGCAUCACUUGCACAACCAUAAGAGAGUUCCCAUUCUACAAAAGAUGGGAUUUACUCCCUUUCUGUUUGUACAAGAAGAAAAAACUGCCCCUGUUCUCUUAAAAUGUUGUUCCCCUGUUUAAAGCCUUUAGGAUCUACAUAGGAAAAUUGAAAUUGCAGGUUACUGACAUGCUGUUCACUGACAUACCAACCUAGUGUUCCCAACUAAUCAGAACAUAAUCAACGGCGUGAUUUAAAAAUAAUGAAUAGUAUCCUGUAAAAUGUUUGCAUUUGUGCAGACAUAUUGGUGCUCAUGGGCCUGACCAAGCUUCCACUGCAAUCAAUAGGUGUCUGUCUAUUGACUUCAGAGGGAGUUGGAUCAGGCCCUAACUCCUUUGUAAUAAUAAUAAUACCUAGCUCUUAUAUAGUAAAGCUCUUUACAAAGGAAAUAAAAAGGUAUCAUCAGGCUGCAGCCACUGGAGGGUGACAUGACCACAUGCAUCUGAAUAAAACUCAAUCCAUCUAUUAGGGUGAUGGAUAAACAUGCAGAUAGUGGUAAGAUGUACACCCACACACAGGUUGCAUUUGGCUUUUGAUGUAAAGCAAUCCAAUCCACACACAUUGGAACAAAUUGGGCUGGAUGGGUUUGUGAUGAGAGAGUUUAAGCUUUUUCUACAGACCAAGUUGUAGCUGUCAUUCAAAGACCAUUCUUUCACCACUUUUAAAAUCUGCAAAGAAAGGUUGCUUUGUUACUUUCUUCUUUAGCUCCCAAACUGACUACUUGUAUGAGGCAUCUCACUAAGCUUUCUGUUCUAGUUAGGUUUUUAGGCUACUCCCAUCACCAUGGUAUCUGAGCUGGCCCUUAGUAUGGGAUUAUAAACAGCACACUAGUAUACACACCUUUCUUAUAUGAAGACUAGAGGAAAAAGCAGACUGACCAAAGCACAUUAAAGGUCAAAAGGGACAUUGAGAGCAUGGGGGCGGGAGGUGACAUUGGUAGUCAGAAGAGUGACUAAACAAUGUUAAUGUACCUUCUCCCUUUCAAUCUUGUCUUUUUCUGUUUAGCAAAUUUUUCUUUUACCGUUUAAAUGGAGUUGAACUUUACUGUGUCUAUUUUGUUAAAUUCAAAAGUACUAAUCUCUUUUGUCUGUGUCAUAUCUUUAAUACGGGUCUGGGAGUAGUACUUAUUACUGAACUCCUGUGGCUGGAGCACGACCAUUGCUCUUUGUAGACGUUACAGAAAUAAUGGGCUCUGUUUAAUUUCCAGGUGAUGUUUAUAGAUUUUUAAAAUGUCUCUUAGGAUUUAUCUCUCUCACCAUGUACUUGAAAAGAAACUUCAAACAAAUUUAAAGACUUUCGUACAUGAAAUUGCCAAAGGCUGGCAAAUAUUGAGUGUCUAAUGUCUGAACUGUACCAACUAGAGAUGGAAGACCUAGCAUGUCAUUCAGCUCAUCGCCCUGCUAAUGCAGUUUGUUCCCAUGAUACAUGCUCAAGUGCUAUGUUCAGUCCAGCUUUAAAAAACUUAAACUCACACUUACUUCCCUGAGGAGACUAUUCCUCGGCAUAAAGCAGGGAACUUCUCCCUGAUGCUCAACAUAUGUCUCUUGUUGCCAAAGUUCAUUCUAGAACUCCUAAUCCUUGUUGUUUGUUUACUUAUUUAGUUAUUAUUUGUAUUACAAAGGUGCCUUGUUCUGCCCUGAACUAUUCCUCUCCCUCCAUGGUGUUGAUAUACUUGUAGAAAGUUAGUGUUUGGAGCUGAGUUAAAUUUUAUUGUGGGUUGAGUGAAAACCUCGUUGAAACUGAUGUGUGAAUGUACCUUUCUCUCAAGAUAGUUGGGAGACAGUUAAGGGACCACUCCUAAAACAAGCCCUACCAGCGCCAGCCCAAGAGACAGGCAGAGGCAAAAAGCAAGAAAACCAAGCAGUAACCAGUGAGCACAAUGUAACCCAGGAAAAAAGCUAGUGAGAAAUCUGGCUAAAGAGGCUUGGGGCUAUAAACUAAGAAAAUGCUCCUUUUGUUCUUGGUUUUUCCUCCUGUGUUAAGAGAAGCAGGACUUUGUACAUUCCUUG